rnacentral:lncRNA from 1 species
GUGACCAUCUGCCAAAGCAGAGCAGGUGGGACAGAAGGGAAGGCACCUGAUGCCUCUCUUGCUGUAGUUCACACUCCACAUUUCCACCAAACUGGUCCCUGAAGUGGUCUGCACCAAGAUGCCUGGAGCACAGUCCUGCCCAGUAGCGGUGUGGACACAGGCAGGAAGAAAGAACUUUACCUGCAUUGCUGAGCUGUGAGAGAUCAGUUAAUGAUUGAAGAGGAUUUUGAAGAUGGGAAGUGUGCGGCAAUAAAACUGCAGGUUCCUAAGACAGGCCUGCAAGGCAGAUGGUAGCAGCAGACAGUUCAGGAGAAGUCACAAAGCCCAAAUUCCCCAUGGGCUGAAUGGAGAAGUUUCCAGACCAAUGUCAGGAUGGUGGCCACCAGCAGGAUGCUUGCAAGGGUAUGGAAACUGAACUUAACUAAGCACAACCACCAGAUGAGCACCAGAAUUGGCACAAGAGUGAGAGAGCCAGAAGAAGUUCAGGGUCAAACAGUGGCACGUUCCAGCUGCUGUGUCAGUGCCACACUGCCAGCACAAAGGGCCUGUACCGGUAUCAGUGACUGUCACUGAAUAAAAAAACACUUCCAGUUGAUUCCAUCAUCCUGCCUGUGGCACAGGAAUGCAGGCACACAUAUAACGUGUGUUCACUUACUAUGAUACCAGUAUUUCUGUAUCAAAUGUUUUAAUAAAACUCAACUUUCGAGCA